GUUUCAAAAAAUUUGGAGCAUUUUGAUAUUUUUGAAAUUUUUGGUGUAGUUUCCAUAGCAACAUAGUAGUUCCAAUGUUUGCCAAAAUCAUACCAAAACCAGCAUAUAGUGGGCACCUACAUUGUAUCAAAAUAUAAUAAUUCUAAGUUUAAGCAUAACGUAUUAUUUCACCAAAACCAAAUCUAGAUUUUUUCACAAUUGUGCAGUUUCCAUGGAAACGGCGGCCAUAUUUUACCAUUCCAUAGCAAGGUGCACAACUUCACAUGGGGGUCUUCAUUAUAGUAGAGUUCCAUCAACAUUGGUCCAUUGGAUUCCAAGAACUCGCGCGGACAAAAUUUUGUUGCAAGAAAAAAAAAUAAAAAUAAUAAUAAGAAAAAAAAGAAACGUAGAAUAACAAUACGUCACCCCAACUCCGUUGAGGGUGCCAUAAUAAAAAAAAAAA
rnacentral:lncRNA from 1 species